CAAAACAACGAUAACCCGAAAUAGAUUUAAAUCAUAUGAAUUAUCAAAGAGGGGAAAUUAUAAAUGGUUCAAAGAUAACAAAUUUAUUUUGGUGGUUUUCCACGCGAAAAAGUUCAAAAAUUGAUUCGAAUUCAUUAUUUGUUGCAAUUUCUACAAAGUUCUAAACAGUUCCUAUACAAUUAAUUAAGGUUUUUAGUUGAGAUGAAAAAAGUUAAUGGCACGAGAGGGAUUCGAACCCACGACCUUCGGCUAGAUACGCCGCACCUCUACCACCUGAGCUAUAAUUGGUCAAGCGGACCACGAAAUUAGUGAAUAGUUCCUAUAGUUCUAGAAGAAAAAUGGAAAAGCGGCAUGAUCAGAGGUGACAUUUCAAAAGAAGUCAGGUCAUAAAUGGCGACUGGACCAAAAGCCCUUUCCAAGACAACAACCCCAAACAAUCAAGGAAAACUCAAGAUUGGCUACUACAUAAUGCACCUAGACACCACCCCAAUCGCCUGAUUAACCCUAUUGAGUUCUUGUGGGAUCGUUUGGAUCCCCGGUCGUGACAAAAAACUAGUUAUAUCAAUGAGAAACAGUUUAUUAGCGGUAAUAAAAAGUAAGGAUGGACCUUGAGAUUAAUGAGAUAAAAUUUAGAUAAGUGUUAGUAAAUAAACAA